CUACAAUGGCGUAAACAAAGGGAGGCGAAGCCGCGAGGUGGAGCAAAUCCCAAAAAUAACGUCUCAGUUCGGAUUGUAGUCUGCAACUCGACUACAUGAAGCUGGAAUCGCUAGUAAUCGCGAAUCAGAAUGUCGCGGUGAAUACGUUCCCGGGUCUUGUACACACCGCCCGUCACACCAUGGGAGUCAGCAACGCCCGAAGCCGGUGACCCAACCGAAAGGAGGGAGCCGUCGAAGGUGGGGCCGAUAACUGGGGUGAAGUCGUAACAAGGUAAC
rnacentral:rRNA from 1 species